rnacentral:rRNA from 1 species
UACAGAGGUCCCAAGCGUUGUUCGGAUUCACUGGGCGUAAAGGGUGCGUAGGUGGUGAGGUAAGUCGGAUGUGAAAUCUCCGAGCUCAACUCGGAAAUGGCAUUGGAAACUACCUUGCUUGAGGGUUGGAGGGGGGACUGGAAUACUUGGUGUAGUAGUGAAAUGCGUAGAUAUCAAGUGGAACACCAGUGGCGAAGGCGAGUCCCUGGACAACUCCUGACACUGAGGCACGAAAGCUAGGGGAGCAAACAGG